rnacentral:rRNA from 1 species
CCUGAUCCAGCCAUGCCGCGUGUGUGAAGAAGCCCUUUUGGUUGUAAAGCACUUUAAGCAGUGAAGAAGACUCUAUGGUUAAUACCCAUAGACGAUGACAUUAGCUGCAGAAUAAGCACCGGCUAACUCUGUGCCAGCAGCCGCGGUAAUACAGAGGGUGCAAGCGUUAAUCGGAAUUACUGGGCGUAAAGCGAGCGUAGGUGGCUUGAUAAGUCAGAUGUGAAAGCCCCGGGCUUAACCUGGGAACGGCAUCUGAUACUGUUAGGCUAGAGUAGGUGAGAGGAAGGUAGAAUUCCAGGUGUAGCGGUGAAAUGCGUAGAGAUCUGGAGGAAUACCGAUGGCGAAGGCAGCCUUCUGGCAUCAUACUGACACUGAGGUUCGAAAGCGUGGGUAGCAAACAGGAUUAGAUACCCUGGUAGUCCACGCCGUAAACGAUGUCUACUAGUCGUUGGGUCCCUUGAGGACUUAGUGACGCAGCUAACGCAAUAAGUAGACCGCCUGGGGAGUACGCC